rnacentral:lncRNA from 1 species
UAUAGGGUUUUUAAGUCGCUUUGGUAUACAAAAGAGGAGGUGGACUUUGUAGCUUUAAAAGAAUGGGUCAUAAUUGUUAAGUUUGGUUGCCUGGAAGAUCGCAGUCGUAUCCUCAACCUCAUGCCCUGGCUUUUAUUCUCAAUGCUGCCAUUUGAGAAGGGAAAGAACAUAGACACUUAUGAAUUCUGGAUGUCGCCUUUUUGGUUAAGAGUCUACAACAUCCCUCUUGAACUCCUGGACCGUCAAAUGGCACUGGAUGUUGGGAAUGCUUUAGGUGAGAUUGUGGAAAUCGAUUGGAAGGAUAGAUAUGGAGGGUGGAUAGAGUUCAUGAGGCUAAAAGUCAAAAUCGAUGUGUCAAAACCUGAAGUAGUUGGGAAUCGAUAACAAAACUAAUCGAGAUAGAGUAAUCAUUCCUACCAAAGAAAACAAUUUUGCAUUCUAAUUAUCAAGUUCACGUCUAACUUUAUCAACAACAAAAUUGAAAGUAUUCUUGGUAACUCUUUUGUGAAACAGAGGCAAACCCAAGUAAGUACCCAAGUCAUCCGAAAGGCGAAAUCCAAGGAUAUUGCAUAUACUUGCAAGGUUGGCAGCAUCAAUAUUUUUAGAGAAAUAAAUAGUAGUUUUCUAUUCAUUAACUUUAUUUCCCCAAGCCUUACCAAAAGUACAUAGAGCUUCAUUGAUUUUGUGCGCCUGAUCAACCUCAGCUUCCGUAAACAUGAAUAAGUCAUCUGCAAAGAAAGGUGUGAAAUGGGCAGACCAUCCUUACCCAGUACAAUCAACCUCAGCUUCCGUAAACAUGAAUAAGUCAUCUGCAAAGAAAGGUGUGAAAUGGGCAGACCAUCCUUACCCAGUACAAUAGGUUUCUAAGAUUUUCUUGUGACUUCUCUAUGAAUUAAUUGGCCUAAUCUCUCCAUGCAGAGUACGAAGAUGUACGGAGAUAAAGGGCAUCCUUGCCUAAUACCCCUCUUAGGAACAAAGCCAGAAGAAAGCCUACCAUUCCACAUUAUUUGCAUUGAAACUGAAGAAAUACAGUCCAUGACGACUUUAAUCAAGGUCGAAGGAAAACCAACAUCAACCAAAGUGUCUUCAAUAAAUUCCCAGCAAAUUUUGUCAUAAACUUUUUCUAAAUCCACCUUUAUAACAAUCCAUAAUUUCUUCCCUUUCGUAGUCUGCAUGGAAUGUACAAUUUCUUGGGCAAUGAUAAUAUUGUUCAUAAUCUAUCUUCUUGCCACGAAACUCACUUGAUUUUGAGCAAUGAGGGAUGGAAAAAUAUGUCUGAACCGAUUGGAAAUUAUUUUGGUAACAACCUUAUACAAGACUUUACAAAGACUUAUUGGCUAGAAAUGAGAGAAAGAAGUAGGAUUCUUAAUCUUCGCUAUGAGAACCAAGAGCGUGCUACUAACAGAAGAGAUGGGAAUCUUACCGAAAAAAUCAGAACCCAAGAAUAAACAUCCGAUCCGAUCGUAUCUCACUGAAUUUGGUAGAAAAGAAAGUGAAAAGCAUCAAGGCUAGGAGCUUUUAAAGGACCCAUGCUAAACAAAACACUUCUAACUUCCUCUACAUUAACAAUCAAGGUUAAAGAGUCCAUAGUGCUACAGUCAACAUGCGAAAAGUGACCACAUAAAGGGAAAGCAACACAUGAUAAGUCAUCCAAUGAAAACAGAGAAGAGAAGAAACGAACUGCUUCAUCAUGCAAGCUCUCAUUAGCAUAACAAUAGUUAUCCCCAAUUUUCAAGACAGAAAUUUUAUUAGAAUUCCACCUUAUAAGAGCUUUAUUAUGGAAAAACUUGAUAUUAUGAUCCCCAAAAUGGACCCAAUCCGUCAUAGAUUUUUUGUUUCCAGAGUAAUUCUUCUUCAUCAAGAAUCUUUUCAUAAUCUAAAUGUAACUUUGAUUCAAGAUUCAGAAGGUACCUGGAACAUCAACGAUCUAAAGAGCCUGAACUUUACCAAUAUGGUGGGUAAUCAACCGUUUCUUUCUAAUAAUGUGGCAGAAAACCUCAAAAUUCCACUUUUUCAGGUUUGUGGUAAGAGAAGUGAGAUUACUGGUAAUAUCAAUAUCAUGUCUCCAAAUAUCAUAGAUGAAAUUGUUAAAAUCUGGAUGAGAAAUCCAAGAUGCAAGAAACUGAAAAGGUCUCGGAUAAAAAGCUUGACUGUGGCCAGAAAAAGUUAAGUAAAUAGGUCUGCGAUCAGAUUUGAGAUGAGGAAAAUGAAAGGCAGAAGAAGCUAAAUAAAGUCGACACCAUUUACUAUUACCAAUUUCUCAGUCUAAUCUUUCAAAGAUAGCCCCUCUUUUCCACGUGAACUGUGGACCUUUAAACCCAAGAUCCAUGAACCCAUUACUAUGGACAAAAUUAUGAAAUAAUUUGUACCCAGAAAAAAAAUAGGACGAGCUCCCCUUUUUUCAUUUGGAGACAAUACUAAAUUGAAGUCCUCCAACAAAACCCACGGCUCAGAAAUGGACUGAGCAAUAAUAUUCAAACGAUCCCAUAAAGUCUUACAUUUUUGUUUGUUCGGAUAACCAUAAACAAAGGUCACUAAAACACUUCUAGAUCCCCCUAUUUCCUCAAAUGACAUAGAGUAAAUUGUGGAUCAUUAAGCAUAAUUUGGAUCUGAAAAGUAUUUAUCCAACAAAUGCAUAAACCCCCAGCAUAACCUUUAGCUUCAAUUCUGUGAGAACAAUCCAAACCAAUUUUAGAAAUGAUUCUAUCAGCCUUCAAACAAUUGACUCGAGUUUCAAGAAAUGCCUCUACAUCAAUAUAAAAUUCAACAUAGUAAUCUCUAACCACCCUAACAAACUUAGGUGAUGCACACCCUUGACAGUUCCAUACAAAUAUAUGUGGUAACAUCUGAAAAAUCAUAAAGAGAAUGACAAACAUUAGUAGACCCACCUUAAACACCUAAGGUAGUCGUUUCAUUAGAACCCGGAGGUACCCCUUGAAAGUUAUUUUCCUCCGUAAUCAAGCCUUCUAAACUGAUCCUGUCAAUGAAUGUUGUUAUAGCUUCAGCAACAAAAUCAUGAUCGAUUACCUUCACCUUGAGUUUGUUGCCUUUAUCCUGAAGAUUGUGAGACCCAUUCUUAAACGUUUGAGGUCCCUAGAAAGCCCUAUAUUUCAUUUAUGUCACAAUUUUUCCAUGUAAAAUUUUUUGUUUUUCAAUUUAAUCCCUAUUUGACAAUUUCAUAAAAAAACCUCUUAACAAAAGUUGUUUAUAUAACAACAACUAUCCAUUUUAUUCCAUCAAACAUUAAAAAAAAAUAUAUUCAUUCAUGGAAAACUCUAAUCCUUUAGCAUUUUUACAAAUUAGUCGUUAGGCUAGCUAGAUUAAGCUACAAUGAUCCUAAAAACAUAGAAAUCAUUAAAAACGGGACAAAAAUCACUUACAAUCAAGCAAUGAGAAGUUGCCAAAAUUAAAAGCUCAAUAAUGGCUUCCCAAACCCUAAGAUUCAG